rnacentral:rRNA from 1 species
AUUGAACGCUGGCGGCAGGCCUAACACAUGCAAGUCGAACGAGUGGCGGACGGGUGAGUAAUGUCUGGGAAACUGCCUGAUGGAGGGGGAUAACUACUGGAAACGGUAGCUAAUACCGCAUACCAUCAGAUGUGCCCAGAUGGGCGUAGCUUGUUGGUGGGGUAACGGCUUACCAAGGCGACGAUCCCUAGCUGGUCUGAGAGGAUGACCGGCCACAGUGGAACGUAGACACGGUCCGGAGUCCGACGAGAGGCAGCAGUGGGGAAUAGUGCACAAUGGGAGCAAGCCGGAUGCAGCCAUGCCGCGUGUAUUAAGAAGGCCUUCGGGUUGUAAAGUACUUUCAGCGGGGAGGCGUUACCCGCAGAAGAAGCACCGGCUAACUCCGUGCCAGCAGCCGCGGUAAUAC